CUCUCUUGCCGGCCACCAUGUAAGACGUCCCUUUGCUCUUCCUGCAUCUUCCACCAUGAUUGUGAGGCCUCCCCAGCCAUGUGGAACUGGCCUGUUCCAGCACUGAGUGCGCCUUUGGGGAUCGUGCACCGUGAGCAGCACAGCUGGACCCCAGGUGAGGGCACUUCACCUCCCAGGCCUGGUCUCCACACCCGGGUCACAGAGAGACAUGUCAGCUGAGGAAGCAGGGCAGGCGGCCUCUUCCUUCAACACCUUUAACUUCCUUUAAAUGGAGAAGGGAGGCUGCUCCUGGGGAACACAGAGGGCCGCUCCACUGUAAAACCACAGCAGCUGUGCACCAGGAUGGGCCUCAGGGACCAGCCAGCCCAGGGAUGGCCGGUGCCCCCACCCUCUGACAAAUGCACCCAGGAGUCAAGCAUGGGGGUGUCCUCGGCACCUGGAUUGGAAGGUUCUUGCCAUUGUGGAUGGGGUCUAACCUCCUGGACUUCAGUGGGUAACCGAAGGCUCCAGCACGCAGCUUCAGAAAGACCAGAGCCAGGCCCAGGUGCCCUCUCCAGCCGACAUCCGGGCUGUGGCCUCUGGGCUGCUUCUCCUUCCUGUGGCUUCCAAGUCCCAGGGUACAUCGGUGCCCUUCUGUGUCCUGGCAGUUUUAGAGAAAAGGAAUGAAGCAGCUGUAUUCACAUACAUGUAGUAAAUGUGAAAUUUUCACAGCA